rnacentral:misc_RNA from 1 species
GGUGCAGGGGCCAUACCUGACCUAUGAGGACUCGUACCUCGCGGUGACUGGUGGCUCUGGCGCCUUCGAGGGUGUUUACGGCCAUGUCAAGCUGCAACAGCUAGUCUUUCCCUUCAAGCUGUUCUACACCUUCUACCUCAAGGGCAUUCCUGACCUCCCGCCGGAGCUGCUAGGCGACCACAUUCCUCCCUCCUCAGCAGUCGAGCCCAUUCCCGCUGCCAAGUCCUGUGAGCCCCAUGC